CGUUAAUCCUUCAUUUGGUUCUAAACCAGGCUGAGGUAUCUCCAAGCCAUGCUUACUCGCCAGUUUUCUUUUAAUCCAAACCACCCAAUGAACACUCAAUCCUCCUGCAUAGAAAUGCUCCCAAAAGUCACCUGAAAUCCUCUGGCUAGUCAUAGGGCUAGCAACAGUGCCGGAUGCAGAUAACUUUUAUAAGACCGCCUUGGGCCAAUUUCAGGGAGUUCAUGUCAAACAUGACCAUUUAGCAUUGGCGGAAAGUACGCGAAAGCUGUUGACAGUUGAAUAGCUUCACAUGGAUGGCUCAUUUCGCGUACUUGACAGUUGAAUAGCUUCACAUGGAUGGCUCACCUCGAUCAUUUCAAACUCGUCCCAACCACUUGUCCGACCAUCGUGGUGAAACGAGACAAUGGCGAGUGCUUUGAGAACUGGAAAUAUGUUACAAAAAUAAAUUUAUGAUUCUCACAAUUUUAUAUAUUUUCUGAAAUUUAACGUACAGAAUGGGCAACAAGGGUGUGCUCUCUCUCCCGCGCGCGCACACAUGUACCAGGGCUAUCAGUCACCGUAGCUAUGACGACGAGUGAAGAGAAGUCAUCGAACAAGGAAGGGAACAACCUGCUGGCCGCACCGACCUUCACAGAGCUCGUGAAUGGCCGCUUCAAGUGUGUGGAGACUGGUCACGAAGUGCUCGCCAAAGACAUGGAAUCCUACUCUCCGUCCAAACGGUGUCGUUUGGGUCUCAUCGACGUCGCUAUGUCCCAAAACAAACCUCCACUCAACAUGUUCAAGCAAGAUCCUCUUUCCCGUUCAAAGUUGAUAUGUAAGCUGACGGGAGACACCAUAAAUAAGUGCGAGGAACAUAUAUGGAAGCACAUCAAUGGCAAACGAUUCCUUAACAAAUUAGAGGAUAAGGAAGCAGAAAAGUUAACCUCAGAUGGAAAUUCAGUAGAGAAGAGUGGGCAGAAGCCCCAAAAAGCAGCAAAACCGGCCACGGAUGGUAUAAUGAAGAAGAAGAAGAAGAAGAAGAAGAAGGAAAAAGACAAAGGAAUUGAUGAGAUUAUCUCUGCAGUCAGGAAUUUGUCUGAUGAGAGCACUGAUUCAGAAGAAGCUGAUUUCUGGAUGCCUCUUGUGGGAGAACACUGCAAUUUUGAUGAUGGAGGAGUUCGAUGGUGUUGCCGUUCAGAGUUGGGGCAGGAAAUCGAUGAAGUUAAUGGAAUGGUCUUUGGGCUUUCAGAAUAUCGUUAUCUCAUUCUCUCAAACCCAUGUUACUGAAUUUGAUGGUAUAUUGUUAUCAUCGAUGGUCCAGCUGAAGAAGGUGGCAAGGAGACAGAAGAGCUCUCUAUGCGUACAAAAAGAAUGUCCAUUGAAAUUGGACCUAGCAGUUUUGCCUCAAGGAAGAAAAGGUGCAAGAAGAAUCUGACAAAUUAAUCUGCUCAUCACAAUUUACUGCUAGCAAUUUGUUGGAAAAUGAAGCUUUUGAAGUUUCUCCUAUGUAAAUAAUUUACUUAAUGUACGAGCACAAAAAUUUUGAAGUUUUGGUUGUAAGCAUUCUAUCAAAUUUUGGUGGUGUAUUAAUGCAUGUUCGUAUGGUAUCAA